AUUGAACGCUGGCGGCAUGCCUUACACAUGCAAGUCGAACGGCAGCAUGGAGAGCUUGCUCUCUGAUGGCGAGUGGCGAACGGGUGAGUAAUGCAUCGGAACGUACCGUGUAAUGGGGGAUAACGUAGCGAAAGUUACGCUAAUACCGCAUACGACCUGAGGGUGAAAGCAGGGGAUCGCAAGACCUUGCGUUAUACGAGCGGCAGAGGUCAGAUUAGCUAGUUGGUGAGGUAAAGGCUCACCAAGGCGACGAUCUGUAGCGGGUCUGAGAGGAUGAGCCGCCACACUGAGACUAAGACACGGCCCAGACUCCUACGGGAGGCAGCAUUGGGGAAUUUUGGACAAUGGGGGCAACCCUGAUCCAGCCAUGCCGCGUGAGUGAAGAAGGCCUUCGGGUUGUAAAGCUCUUUCGGCCGGGAAGAAAUCGCACAGGCUAAUACUCUGUGUGGAUGACGGUACCGGCAUAAGAAGCACCGGCUAACUACGUGCCAGCAGCCGCAGUAACAC
rnacentral:rRNA from 1 species